AUAAGUGAUGAAUAGCUUUAUAUUCUGACACCUCUUGUAUGAGUGCGGAGGAU
rnacentral:snoRNA from 1 species